AGAGUUUGAUCAUGGCUCAGAAUCAACGCUGGCGGCGUGCCUAACACAUGCAAGUCGAGCGAGAAAAGGGGAGCAAUCCCCUGAGUACAGCGGCGCACGGGUGAGUAACACGUGGGUAAUCUGCCCUGGAGUGGGGAAUAACACCGGGAAACCGGUGCUAAUACCGCAUACGAUCACAGAGUCUGCGGAUUUUGUGAUGAAAGGAGCAAUUCGCUCUAGGAGGAGCCCGCGGCUGAUUAGCUAGUUGGUGAGGUAAUGGCUCACCAAGGCAACGAUCAGUAUCCGGUCUGAGAGGACGGUCGGACACACUGGAACUGAGACACGGUCCAGACUCCUACGGGAGGCAGCAGUGGGGAAUUUUUGGCAAUGGGGGCGACCCUGACCAAGCAACGCCGCGUGGGUGAUGAAGUCUCUUGGGACGUAAAACCCUUUCGACGGGGACGAAACCGCAAGGUUGACGGUACCCGUAGAAGAAGCCCCGGCUAACUCCGUGCCAGCAGCCGCGGUAAUACGGGGGGGGCAAGCGUUGUUCGGAAUUACUGGGCGUAAAGGGCGCGUAGGCGGUGCUCUAAGUCGGAUGUGAAAACUCUGGGCUCAACCCAGAGCCUGCAUCCGAAACUGGAGUGCUGGAGUUCUGGAGGGGGUAGCGGAAUUCCUGGUGUAGCGGUGAAAUGCGUAGAUAUCAGGAGGAACACCGGUGGCGAAGGCGGCUACCUGGACAGAAACUGACGCUGAGGCGCGAAAGCUAGGGGAGCAAACAGGAUUAGAUACCCUAGUAGUCC
rnacentral:rRNA from 1 species